rnacentral:rRNA from 1 species
UACGUAGGGGGCAAGCGUUGUCCGGAUUUACUGGGCGUAAAGAGCGUGUAGGCGGCCACGCAGGUCCGUUGUGAAAACUGGAGGGCUCAACCUCCAGCUGUCGACGGAAACCGUAUGGCUAGAGUCCGGAAGAGGAGAGUGGAAUUCCUGGUGUAGCGGUGAAAUGCGCAGAUAUCAGGAGGAACACCGGUGGCGAAGGCGGGUCUCUGGGCCGAUACUGACGCUGAGGAGCGAAAGCGUGGGGAGCGAACAGG